rnacentral:sRNA from 1 species
GCUGGACAUUUUGGUGUAUGCCUGUAGUCCCAGCUACUCAGGAGGCUGAGAUGGGAGGAUCACUUGAGCCUAUAAACCAAUCUGAGCAACAUAGCAUGACCCUGUCUCAG